rnacentral:rRNA from 1 species
CUGGGAGGACCAUCUCCUAAGGCUAAAUACUCUCUAGUGACCGAUAGUGAACCAGUACCGUGAGGGAAAGGUGAAAAGCACCCCGGAAGGAGAGUGAAAUAGAACCUGAAACCGUGUGCUUACAAGUAGUCAGAGCCCGUUAAUGGGUGAUGGCGUGCCUUUUGUAGAAUGAACCGGCGAGUUACGAUUUGAUGCAAGGUUAAGCAGUAAAUGUGGAGCCGUAGCGAAAGCGAGUCUGAAUAGGGCGUUUAGUAUUUGGUCGUAGACCCGAAACCAGGUGAUCUACCCUUGGUCAGGUUGAAGUUCAGGUAACACUGAAUGGAGGACCGAACCGACUUACGUUGAAAAGUGAGCGGAUGAACUGAGGGUAGCGGAGAAAUUCCAAUCGAACCUGGAGAUAGCUGGUUCUCUCCGAAAUAGCUUUAGGGCUAGCCUCAAGUGAUGAUUAUUGGAGGUAGAGCACUGUUUGGACGAGGGGCCCCUCUCGGGUUACCGAAUUCAGACAAACUCCGAAUGCCAAUUAAUUUAACUUGGGAGUCAGAACAUGGGUGAUAAGGUCCGUGUUCGAAAGGGAAACAGCCCAGACCACCAGCUAAGGUCCCAAAAUAUAUGUUAAGUGGAAAAGGAUGUGGCGUUGCCCAGACAACUAGGAUGUUGGCUUAGAAGCAGCCAUCAUUUAAAGAGUGCGUAAUAGCUCACUAGUCGAGUGACACUGCGCCGAAAAUGUACCGGGGCUAAACAUAUUACCGAAGCUGUGGAUUGUCCUUUGGACAAUGGUAGGAGAGCGUUCUAAGGGCGUUGAAGCAUGAUCGUAAGGACAUGUGGAGCGCUUAGAAGUGAGAAUGCCGGUGUGAGUAGCGAAAGACGGGUGAGAAUCCCGUCCACCGAUUGACUAAGGUUUCCAGAGGAAGGCUCGUCCGCUCUGGGUUAGUCGGGUCCUAAGCUGAGGCCGACAGGCGUAGGCGAUGGAUAACAGGUUGAUAUUCCUGUACCACCUAUAAUCGUUUUAAUCGAUGGGGGGACGCAGUAGGAUAGGCGAAGCGUGCGAUUGGAUUGCACGUCUAAGCAGUAAGGCUGAGUAUUAGGCAAAUCCGGUACUCGUUAAGGCUGAGCUGUGAUGGGGAGAAGACAUUGAGUCUUCGAGUCGUUGAUUUCACACUGCCGAGAAAAGCCUCUAGAUAGAAAAUAGGUGCCCGUACCGCAAACCGACACAGGUAGUCAAGAUGAGAAUUCUAAGGUGAGCGAGCGAACUCUCGUUAAGGAACUCGGCAAAAUGACCCCGUAACUUCGGGAGAAGGGGUGCUCUUUAGGGUUAACGCCCAGAAGAGCCGCAGUGAAUAGGCCCAAGCGACUGUUUAUCAAAAACACAGGUCUCUGCUAAACCGUAAGGUGAUGUAUAGGGGCUGACGCCUGCCCGGUGCUGGAAGGUUAAGAGGAGUGGUUAGCUUCUGCGAAGCUACGAAUCGAAGCCCCAGUAAACGGCGGCCGUAACUAUAACGGUCCUAAGGUAGCGAAAUUCCUUGUCGGGUAAGUUCCGACCCGCACGAAAGGCGUAACGAUUUGGGCACUGUCUCAACGAGAGACUCGGUGAAAUCAUAGUACCUGUGAAGAUGCAGGUUACCCGCGACAGGACGGAAAGACCCCGUGGAGCUUUACUGUAGCCUGAUAUUGAAAUUCGGCACAGCUUGUACAGGAUAGGUAGGAGCCUUUGAAACGUGAGCGCUAGCUUACGUGGAGGCGCUGGUGGGAUACUACCCUAGCUGUGUUGGCUUUCUAACCCGCACCACUUAUCGUGGUGGGAGACAGUGUCAGGCGGGCAGUUUGACUGGGGCGGUCGCCUCCUAAAAGGUAACGGAGGCGCUCAAAGGUUCCCUCAGAAUGGUUGGAAAUCAUUCAUAGAGUGUAAAGGCAUAAGGGAGCUUGACUGCGAGACCUACAAGUCGAGCAGGGUCGAAAGACGGACUUAGUGAUCCGGUGGUUCCGCAUGGAAGGGCCAUCGCUCAACGGAUAAAAGCUACCCCGGGGAUAACAGGCUUAUCUCCCCCAAGAGUUCACAUCGACGGGGAGGUUUGGCACCUCGAUGUCGGCUCAUCGCAUCCUGGGGCUGUAGUCGGUCCCAAGGGUUGGGCUGUUCGCCCAUUAAAGCGGUACGCGAGCUGGGUUCAGAACGUCGUGAGACAGUUCGGUCCCUAUCCGUCGUGGGCGUAGGAAAUUUGAGAGGAGCUGUCCUUAGUACGAGAGGACCGGGAUGGACAUACCUCUGGUGUACCAGUUGUCGUGCCAACGGCAUAGCUGGGUAGCUAUGUGUGGACGGGAUAAGUGCUGAAAGCAUCUAAGCAUGAAGCCCCCCUCAAGAUGAGAUUUCCCAACUUCGGUUAUAAGAUCCCUCAAAGAUGAUGAGGUUAAUAGGUUCGAGGUGGAAGCAUGGUGACAUGUGGAGCUGACGAAUACUAAUCGAUCGAAGACUUAAUCAA